GCCGUGGCCUACUGGUUAGCGCUUCGGACUUGUAACCGGAGGGUUGCCGGUUCGAACUCCGACCAGUAGGCA
rnacentral:tRNA from 1 species